rnacentral:lncRNA from 1 species
ACCGGCUCGUGAUUUCACCUGCAGAUACCGAGCUAGACGACCUGGACAUCGACCAUGGUCAGUGGCCUGGAGCACGCAUGGCGGCGCACGCUUCACGUUCCCUGAUCAGAAGUUCAGAACGGCGGCCUCUGCAGGUACGCGAACAUGUCCCCGAACGCGGCGGCGUCGACGCGUGCGAAGAGCGCCGGCGACGGCGGACCGAAGAGCGCGCUGCCGCAGUCGUCCAUGACCACGAACCCGUCGUCGGCCGCCGCGCCGCCCCAGUCGCCGCCGGGCCACCACCCGGCCCCGCCGCCGGGCUGGCUCUCGGCGUGGUCGCGGUCGGGGAGGUCCGGCGACGGCGACAGCACGUGCUCGGACCCGCUGCUGGAGUUGUCCGUGUGCAUCGUCCACGGCACGGAGCUGGAGUCGCGG